rnacentral:rRNA from 1 species
UACGGAGGAUGCGAGCGUUAUCCGGAUUUAUUGGGUUUAAAGGGUGCGCAGGCGGCACGGCAAGCCGGCGGUCAAAUCGCGGGGCUCAACCCCGCCCAGCCGUCGGAACUGCCGGGCUAGAGUGGGCGAGAAGUGCGCGGAAUGCGUGGUGUAGCGGUGAAAUGCAUAGAUAUCACGCAGAACUCCGAUUGUGAAGGCAGCGCACCGGCGCCCUACUGACGCUCAGGCACGAAAGCGUGGGUAUCGAACAGG